rnacentral:lncRNA from 1 species
UUGCCCAGCCUGGAGACCUCGCUGCUGUCACAAAGCCACCGCUCCCCACACCAUUGUCCCACCCAGGCUGGAGGGGGAGGUGGGACAGAUUCCAGCAGCAGAGGAGACACAAGAGAGACAGCAGCCAGAGUCCCUCCUGCGUGGCUGGGGGCAGCCUCGCAACCAGGAGAGCAUCCAGGAAGACAGGGAGAUAACCUCCAACCACAAGCACCAACACCUUUAUUCCACAAUCACAGCCUUUCAGGAGAGCUUCGGAGGGACAAGGCCUGAGAUUCAGCCCGAGCACAGGGUGGGUACAGGGCUGAGCGCUGCGGUCUCUGGUGCUGGUGUACGCGGCUCCUGGCCAUCGGCUUGGUGAGAGACCCAAGAAGUUUGUCAAGAGACUGUGAAUUAG